GAUUUUUUAACUUAACGGACAAAGUACAAACUUGAUAAGUUUGAAAUAAUGGUUCAAUUCCAUUAAAAAUCA
rnacentral:tRNA from 1 species